AGGGGGAGGAGAGUGGGAAGUGACAAGGAGAGGCAACUGGAGCAAAGGAAAAGGGAUGAGAAAUUAAAAUAGGUUGGAAAGGGGAAGGGAGACUGGGGGGGGCAUCAGACCUGAACAGGAAAUAAGUGGUGGGGAGAAGAGGGGAUUGUCUGGAUGUGUGAAGUUCACAGACCAACAAGGAAGGUGGCACUUUGUCAUACACUGACUACUGCUCCCCAAUUUCCAUUUUGCAGCCGAGACUUGUGACACCCCUCCACUGUGUCCAGAGUCAAAACCAGUUUGCAGCACAAAGCUACCCAUGCCUGAGGGAGGAAGCAGACAGCCAUUCCCUCUCUCUGAAGGAGUCAGCAGGUACAGCGAUGCAUGCACGUGAGAAAAGCAAUAUAAACAGCGACCAGCUGGUUCGUGAGUGGAUGAAUGUACAGACCCACUGAGCCACGCACAGCAAAGCCAGGAGGAAACUUCCAGACAGAGCAGCAUUUCCACGUGCUGCAUGUCACUCCAGUGCCUGCAUUCCUAAUCAUAGUGCUUGGAAGCGAGACCAAGAAAGAGAUGAUUUGGCACUUGCAGACUGGAGCUCUCCAAGAUCUUUACAAACACCACACAAUUAACCCUUUCAAGAGGGAGACCCUGCUAUCUCCUGCAUGGAGGGGAGCACUGGCUGCACACAGAAAUCU
rnacentral:lncRNA from 1 species